rnacentral:rRNA from 1 species
UACGAAGGGUGCAACGUUGCUCGGAAUUAUUGGCGUAAAGCGCACGUAGGCGGCUUAGCAAGUCGGAAGUGAAAUCCCUCGGCACACCAAGGAAGUGCUUUCGAAACUGCUGAGCGUUUGAGUAACUUUAAGAGGAUCGCGGGAAAUUCCCGGUGUAGAGGUGGAAAAUUCGUAGAUAUACGGGAGGAACACCAGUGGCGAAGGCGGCGAUCUGGGAAGAUACUGACGCUGAGGUGCGAAAGCGUGGGGAGCAAACAGGG